GCCACCCUGUGUGUCUCUGCCUGCUGCCUUGCCGUUCCCCAAGCUCCACUACCCCUCCCCUGCUGGCUGCUAUCAAGGCCGUCGGAGGCAGGUGGGGAAAAUGGAGCGUGUUGAGAGCUCUGCAGACAAACGGAGCAUUGGCAGCUGCGGGGAGAGGAGACCCUGCUCCACGGCCCUUGGGGCUUUCCCGAAGGCCGGGUCAGCGCUGAGCGGGAGCGGGGAGGGCGCAGCGCACCUCUGCCCUGCGGCACCGCCUGGCAGCCGGCGCAACGCAGGGCGAGAGGGUGCGGGAAGCAGAGCUGCCCGUGCGGGGGAUGCCUGUGGCCGGGCGGGUCUGAACGGGCCGAACCCCUGGAAAAGCUGCCGGUGCUCACGGUCGGGGUCGUUAGCACUUGGGGACCCGAAAACCUUUCCCUGUAACGUGGUUAUCAUCUCGUUCACUGCCAUUGAACACCUGGGGCGGCAGGACCGCAGGUGCGGGCGGGGGGCGAGCCACGGCCUUCGCCAGCACCCCCGCACCGCCCGGGAAGGACCAGCCCACGGGAAAGCCUCGCUCCGCCGGCCGGGCCGGGCCGGGCCGGGCCGGGCCCGCCAGCCGGGUGCCGCGACCCCGGGCGGCGACGGGGCGGACGCCCCCCCCGCCCCUCCCGCCCCCCGGGCCGGCUGACAGCGCCCGCCCGCCCCCCGCUCUGCGGGGCCGGGGCCGGGGCCUGCGCGGCGGCGGGGGAGCGGCGCCCCAGAGCCGCGCCGCGCCGCUUCCUGCCGCUAUAAAUAGCCGCCCGGCCCAACAUGUCCCGGCCGCCGCAGCGGCUGGAGCGCCGGCGGGAGCUGCCGUCCCCUCCCGCCGCGUAGCCCGCCCGGAGCGCGGUAAGGGGGCUGGCGGCGGCCGGGGCUUCGCUGCCCGCGUCCCGGCGGGGCGGAGUGGGGCGGAGGGGGUGUCCGUGCGGGGCGGGCAGGGCCCCCGCGGCGGAGGCGGCCGCGCUGGGGCGGGGGCGGGGGCUCGGCACCCCCCGGCCCCGCGGGGCGAGCGCCCUGCGGGUACGAGGGUCGGGGCGGCCGGCGGGGCAGCGUCGGCGGCGGCCGCCCCUGCCCCGGGAGCCGAGUCUCGCUUCGCGCCUGUUUCCUCUUUCUCUCUUUUCUUCCAGACCGCUCUGUCUCGGGCCGGGACGCGCUCCUCCUGCCUUCCGAAGCCGCCCUCGCGGGGCUGGGAUCCCUCCCUGCUUCCCCCUCGCUUUCCCGCUUUCCCCGGGGUUGGGCGCGUGCCCGGGACGGAGGAUGGCGUUGGCCUCCGGACGCAGCCCCCGGCCCCGCUUGGCAGCUCGGACCGCGCCUCUGCCCGGACCUCCAGGGAGGUGGCUGGCGGCACCCGCGUCCAUCCCUGCCGUGGCAGCGCCAAGGCCGUGAAAUCCCGGCUGGUGCGGCAGGGCGGGGAGAGCCCCGCGGGGGCCGCGCGUGUGGCACCCCGGCAGGGUGCUGCCGCGGGCACUCGUUCGUGCAGGUGUCUGCGUUGCAGCCUCCCUCCCUCAAGUGCUUUCGUCGGCAGCAAGUGUCGAGGAAUGUGCAACCUGGGAAAUGUUAUUGCAAUCUAA
ensembl:lncRNA